UGCUGGCUUCAGGAGUAUUAUAAAAUGCGAACAAUACAGAGAAGAUUAGCAUAGCCCCUGCCCCAAAAUGAUGUGCAAACUCACAAAGUGUUUCAUUUAAAA